AGGUGCUUUGCACCUAGUGGCGAACGGGUGAGUAACACGUAUCUAACCUACCUUUUAGUGGGGGAUAACAGUUGGAAACGACUGCUAAUACCGCAUACGACACCAUUAUGGCAUCAGAAGGUGUUAAAAGGCCCGUUUGGGUCGCUAGAAGAUGGGGAUGCGGCGUAUUAGCUAGUAGGUGGGGUAAUUGCCCACCUAGGCAAUGAUACGUAGCCGAACUGAGAGGUUGAUCGGCCACAUUGGGACUGAGAUACGGCCCAGACUCCUACGGGAGGCAGCAGUAGGGAAUUUUUCACAAUGGACGAAAGUCUGAUGAAGCAAUGCCGCGUGAGUGAUGACGGUCUUCGGAUUGUAAAGCUCUGUUGUAAGGGAAGAAUAGGUAAAAGAGGAAAUGCUUUUAUUUUUGACGGUACCUUACCAGAAAGCCACGGCUAACUAUGUGCCAGCAGCCGCGGUAAUACAUAGGUGGCAAGCGUUAUCCGGAUUUAUUGGGCGUACAGGGUGCGUACGCGGUUCGAUAAAGUUUGAGGUUAAAUCCCGGGGCUCAACCCCCGGUUCGCCUUGAAAACUGUCUUACUAGAAUACAGGAGAGGUAGAUGGAAUUUCCAUGUGUAGCGGUGAAGUGCGAAGAUAUAUGGAGGAACACCAGUGCCGUAGGCGGUCUACUGACCUGUUAUUGACGCUGAGCUCAAAAGCCUGGGCAGCAAAUAGGAU
rnacentral:rRNA from 1 species